AUGGAGAUUACCUGGGGCUGUAGCCGUCCGUGGGCUCCUCCUUCCCUCGGGUCUUCGAUCUCAGCCGCUCCCCAGGGCCCUGCGUCCGGGUGGCUCUCAGGUGCUACGCGGUGCCCGGGGUCCGGCGGGGACGACGAGCGGGCGACCCCUCCCCUCCGCGACCGGGAUCUCCGCGGACACAGCUGGUGGCGACUCCGGCCGCUCAGGCAGCGGCUGCGGGGCAAGAGCAGCCGGCGCGCCGGGGACUCCUGCGCUGGAGAACCGCGGUCCCGGGACCCGCCCGGCCGCGCCGCCGCCGCCGCCCUCGCCACCGCCUCCCGGGGCGGGAGCCGCCGCCUCCCAGCUCCCAGCCCGCGCGCGCCCACCCCGGGGAAGGGGAGGGAGCAGGAGCUGAGGACUCGAGCCGCCUCCAUCGGCCGGGCUCCCGCCCGGACCGGCCCUGCGAUCUGGCUGCCCGGGCCUGGACAAGGAGACCCCGGGGGUUCCGCCCAGGCCUGCCAGUUCCGACCACCCCUCCCGGCGGCUUGGCGGCGGCCGCCAAGGAUGAAACGUCUUGUGCGGCCAGGGAAAGGGGUGCGAGUCCCCGAGGCGACGCUGGAAGGGUGGGGCGCACCCGCGCGGUCCCCUCCUGUCGCGCUCCUGCGGUUGGCACUGGACACAGGGCGGCUGCGAGGCUGCAAGAGUUUCCUCUGUUCUCCGGUUUUUUUCAAAGGCCAUGUGUUCCAGCUCCUGAAGACAAGUGGAAGGCCAGCAACUGAAGAGAUAUUUUGGAUUCAAGUUACUUAACUUUGGGCUGAUUGCUUCACCUCACCUGGUAAAUGAGAACAAUGGACCCUUCAGAGGAAUGAAUUGAAAAUAAAACGUGAGAAAAUGCUAUGAAAUUUGCAGAGAGAUAUGUAGGUAAGUGAUAUUUUAAAAAAUAUUGGAUUAUCAGAUUGGUCAUGUUUAUAAGAAUAAAAGUAUUAACUAUAAGAUAUAAUUGAGUUACCUAAGACUUACAUUUUAGUGUAAAAAUGAAGUGAACACAAUUUUCUAUUCAAACCCUUCUCUUUUUAAAGGAAAUUUAGUUUCUAUUCUAUUAAUAAUAUUAAAUGUAGUAAUAAAUUUAGUAGCUAUAAUCAUAGGACAUCUUUUGACCACCUCUGAGAUUGCCAGGUGCUGUUGUGUUCAUCUCACCUAAUUUCUGCUUGGAAGAUCUCUGAUUGGAAGGCAGUCUGCUAGUUGUCUUUCAAUAUUUAGUCUCCCCUUCCUCUACAAUAAAAGCAUCUGUAACAGACACGUAACCAUGCAGAAAGAAUGACUACAUUUUCCAACAAGGUGUGGCUCAGCUCUAGCCAAUGGGUUAUAGAGGAAGUACUGUGCGAUUGUUUCUGUGAACUGUCUUGUGACAGACAGACACUGGAGAAGCCCGCAUGGUACCCACCCCUUGCUGUUCAGUCCUUGUAAAAUACCCUCCCCUGGAGUGUGGACAGGACCUGUGAGUUAUUUAUAACUAAUAGAAUAUGACAAAUAUGAUGGGAUUUCACUCGUUAUGUUAUGUUAUGUUAUGUUAUGUUAUGUUAUGUUAUGUUAUGUUAUGUCACAUAAGACUUCAUCUUGCUACCAGACUAACUCUAGUGGCUCUCCUUUCUGGCUUAAUGAAGCAAAUGGCCACACUGGGAAAGCUCAUGUGGCAAGAAACUGCAAGAAGCCUCAAUAAAUAAUGGAUUGCCUCUAGGAAUUGUGAGCUCUGGGAUAUCAGGGAAGCCUCCAGCCAACAGCCAGCAAGAACCUGAAGCUCCUAGUAUCACAGCCACAAAAAUAAAUUCUGAUAGCAAUUUGAGUCAGCUUGGAAAUGGAUUCUUCCUCAGUUGAAACCCCUGAUUGUAAUGCAGCCCAAUCAGCACCAUGAUAGCAACAUUGUGAAACCCUAAGCAUAGUAACUAGCUAAGCUGUUUUUGUACUCCUGACAUAGGGAAACUAUGAGAUAAUAAAUGUCUGUUGCCUAAGUUGCUAAGUUUGUGACAAUUUGUUAUGUGGCACUAAUACAGUCCUUCAGAGGCAGCUGGCACAUGCUAUUUGCCCUUUUUCUUUUUUCACGUCUUCUUUCAUCUUGUUGCUUAGACUUCUGCUACAACCUUACUGAACCACAAAGUUGGAGUGUCAUUUUCAAGAUGAUGAAUCCUUGAGCUGAAACAGAUCCAGG
ensembl:lncRNA